rnacentral:rRNA from 1 species
GACGAACGCUGGCGGCGUGCCUAAUACAUGCAAGUCGAACGCUGAAGGAGGAGCUUUCUUCUCCGGAUGAGUUGCGAACGGGUGAGUAACACGUAGGUAACCUGCCUGGUAGCGGGGGAUAACUAUUGGAAACGAUAGCUAAUACCGCAUAAGAGUAGAUGUCGCAUGACAUUUGCUUAAAAGGUGCAACUGCACCACUACUAGAUGAUCCUGCGGUGUAUUAAUUAGUUGGUGAGGUAACGGCUCACCAACGGAACGAUACAUAGUCGACCUGAGAGGGGGAUCGGCCACACUGGGACUGGGACACGGCCCAGACUCCUAAGGGAGGCAGGAGUAGGGGAUCUUCGGCAAUGGACGGAAGGCUGACCGAGCAAAGCCGCGUGGGGGAAGAAGGGUUUCGGAACGGAAAGAUCUGUUGUAAGGGAAGAACGAGUGUGGGAGGGGAAAGUGCACACUGUGACGGUAUCUUACCAGAAAGGGACGGCUAACUACGUG